AUUGAACGCUGGCGGCAGGCCUAACACAUGCACGUCGAGCGAGUGGCGGACGGGUGAGUAAUGUAUGGGGACUGCCCGAUAGAGGGGGAUAACUACUGGAAACGGUAGCUCCUACCGCCUAUUAUCGGAUAACCCAUAUGGGAUUAGCUAGUAGGUGGGGUAAUGGCUCACCUAGGCGACGAUACCUAGCUGGUCUGAGAGGAUGACCAGCAAAAAUAGGACGGAGACACGGCCCAGACUCCUACGGAGGCAGCAGUGGGGAAUAUUGCACAAUGGGCGCAAGCCUGAUGCAGCCAUGCCGCGUGUAUGAAGAAGGCCCUAGGGUUGUAAAGUACUUUCAGUCGGGAGGCGUUACCGACAGAAGAAGCACCGGCUAACUCCGUGCCAGCAGCCGCGGUAAUUC
rnacentral:rRNA from 1 species